GAUGAACGCUGGCGGCGUGCUUAACACAUGCAAGUCGAACGAUGAAGCCCAGCUUGCUGGGUGGAUUAGUGGCGAACGGGUGAGUAACACGUGAGUAACCUGCCCUUAACUCUGGGAUAAGCCUGGGAAACUGGGUCUAAUACCGGAUAGGAGCGUCCACCGCAUGGUGGGUGUUGUAAAGAUUUAUCGGUUUUGGAUGGACUCGCGGCCUAUCAGCUUGUUGGUGAGGUAAUGGCUCACCAAGGCGACGACGGGUAGCCGGCCUGAGAGGGUGACCGGCCACACUGGGACUGAGACACGGCCCAGACUCCUACGGGAGGCAGCAGUGGGGAAUAUUGCACAAUGGGCGCAAGCCUGAUGCAGCGACGCCGCGUGAGGGAUGACGGCCUUCGGGUUGUAAACCUCUUUCAGUAGGGAAGAAGCGAAAGUGACGGUACCUGCAGAAGAAGCACCGGCUAACUACGUG
rnacentral:rRNA from 1 species